rnacentral:lncRNA from 1 species
GUGAAUAAAUUAAUUUCUACAAAUAAGGAACCUGAGACUGAGAGAAUUCAGUUCUUUUCAGGGUCUUCAAGGUAGACAAAGAUAGAAAGAAGACUGAAACCAAUGAAGGAAUUCUUCGAUGGAUCCAGUCCAUAAGACAUAUUUCAAGCAAACUGAACUCAAUGAUGGAAAAGUCUAUUCUGAUAAUCCAAAGGGAAUGAAAGGGAACACUCAGAAGAAUACUUGUAGUUGAUAGAAAAGAUGAAAAACACUAUAUGCAAAAAAUAAAAGGAAAGAAAGAAAUACACAAUGGGCUAUGAAUAUGCUUUAUUGGAGAAGUAAAAGAACAAACACACUAAUUGCUCAUGGGUUAGAGAUCACAACACAGAUUUCAUACAGGCACAUGGUAAAGAAGAUCAAACAAUGAUUCUGCUGCUCUUUUUCCAACAACGUGGUAUCAGCUUCAGGAAGCAAGCCUUUUCUCUCUCAGCUGUCAGUCCGGGAGGGAGGUUAAGGAAGAUGCAAUCCAUCACCAUGGCCGAAGGGAGGACAAUGGAAGAGCCUGGAUCUUGUUUCUUGGUCCAGAUGAAAUCUGGUGCUGUUACUUCCACUUGGGUGGACACUUCUGCUCGCAUGGUGGGCAUGGUGGCACAGGAGGGCAUUUCUGCUGGCUCACUGGAGGUGGGCAAGGCUCAUGGCACUUUGGUGGGCACACUUUUGGAGGUGGAUGGCAGGGCUCCUUGCACUGAUGGUGAUGGUGAUGCUGAUGCUGCUGUGGAUGUGGAUGCGGAUGCGGAUGCGGAUGGUAAGACAUCCUUCCUGGGUCUCAAGGAAUCUGAAAUACAAACAGACAACAUUCCUCAUAACAGAGAGUCCUAUUGUUAGAAUAAGUAGUCGUGCCAACAAUUGUCCCAUAUCUAAGGACUCCUAUUGAUCCCUAAUAUAGUCUUUAUGGAUUUUUGUAGGUGCUUCACCC